rnacentral:lncRNA from 1 species
CAAAUCUGUGGACCACAGGGCUCCCAAGGAUCCAACAUCCCUGCAAGACCGGAAGGGUUCUUUAAGGAGGCACUGCUCAUGUCUUCAUAGGAAAAUCCAAAAUGCAAGCUGUUCACAUGUUUAACUCAAUUGCAGAAGGCAGCUCCUCAUCCCAUGAGGAUCUAUAAGGUGGUGGGUCCCCCAACAGAGGGCAGGAGAGGAAGAAUGACAAGCAUCCCACCAGAAUGACACAUGGCCGCAUCUGUGACAGGAAAGGUCACGUCCAUCUUGUCAUUUGCCAUCAUAUCCCAGCUCCACACACCUCCUCCAACCUCUUCACUCCCGAUAAGCAUUAAAUGUGGAUCACAUCACAGGCA